AAUAAAAAAAGAUGGCGACCUGCGCGAACACUAUCUUGCGUUGGCCUUGUCCGAAUACAACCUAAACUUCUGGACAAAUAUGCGGUCCUUCUGCAACCUUCAAACACGGUGGAUGAAGAGGAAACACAGAGACGCAGAACGAUGAAGUGCAAGUGGAGGCACCUACAAGAUCGGCAGAACACCUGGAUCGAUGCAGUGAUGAUCAUCAUAAUGGUGACUUGUUUUCUGCACAACAUGUGCAUGUGUCAUCUGCCUCACAGUUCUGAGGACCCGGGUUCAAAUCCGGCCUCCCCUGUGUGGAGUUUGCAUGUUCUCCCCUGUACCUGUGUGGGUUUUCUCUGGGUACUCCGGUUUCCUCCCACAUCCCAAAAACAUGCAUGGUAGGUUAAUGGAAGACUCUAAAUUGCCCGUGAGUGCGAAUGGUUGUUCGUUUAUAUGUGCCCUGUGAUUGGCUGGCGCCCAGUUCAGGGUGUACCCCGCCUCUCGCCCAGAGUCAGCUGGGAUAGGCUCCAGCACGCCCGCGACCCGAGUGAGGAUAAGCAGUUCGGAGAAUGAAUGAAUGCAUGUGCAUGAGUGAUUUGGAGAUCUGUCAGGAACACCCAAAUGGAUGCCAAGACAGGCAGAUGAAAAUGAGUUGAGGACACAUUGCAGAUGUCAUGAGGCCAUGCUGUGAAAUGAUCCUGCUCUUUCUUAAAAUGUUCUGUAACACUGUAAAUAGCUAUCAAUAAUGCGCUGCUGUAAUUACUUUUUUUCCUGCAAAUAAAUAUUUUACUCAGUUA